UCCUGGACGGUUCGCCGCAGACCCUCCCUCCCAGACCCUCCCACCUCCUGGACAGCAUCCAUUUUGAAGCUGCAUUCUUAGUGAGCUGUCCAGGAGGUGGGAGGGUCUGGGAGGGAGGGUCUGCUGCUGAUUGGCUGG